UGGGGAAUAUUGGACAAUGGGGGCAACCCUGAUCCAGCAAUGCCGCGUGUGUGAAGAAGGUCUUCGGAUUGUAAAGCACUUUCGACGGGGACGAUGAUGACGGUACCCGUAGAAGAAGCCCCGGCUAACUUCGUGCCAGCAGCCGCGGUAAUACGAAGGGGGCUAGCGUUGCUCGGAAUGACUGGGCGUAAAGGGCGUGUAGGCGGUUUACACAGUCAGAUGUGAAAUCCCCG
rnacentral:rRNA from 1 species